UACGUAGGGGGCAAGCGUUGUCCGGAUUUAUUGGGCGUAAAGAGCGUGUAGGCGGCCUGACAGGUCUGCUGUGAAAACUCGAGGCUCAACCUCGAGAUGUCGGCGGAAACCGUCUGGCUAGAGUCCGGAAGAGGAGUGUGGAAUUCCCGGUGUAGCGGUGAAAUGCGCAGAUAUCAGGAGGAACACCGAUGGCGAAGGCAGGUCUCUGGGCCACUACUGACGCUGAGAAGCGAAAGCAUGGGGAGCGAACAGG
rnacentral:rRNA from 1 species